GGGAAAGUUGAUUAAUGAGAGUGAGUCGACUUCAGCCGGUUGUCGAAACUAAACUCCCCUCUAUGUCUUUAUUUGUGCAUGGAGCAGGGACAUAGAGACGAAUUAGAGGACGAUGGAGUCACGUUGAUACAUUUUGCCGUACUAUAAAGGGUGUACCGGACUCUCACCCAAAGUUUGCUUGGCUACACUUUGGCUCACCAGUGACCCCAAAUAAGUGGACUGCUGAGAAGUCUACCACGAACAAAGUCAUUGGUCCUAAUUGAAGGUGAGGGGCAGUUCUUUUCUUUUCAUGUCUUGUCUCACUCUUCUUUGUUUUUAUUGGUUUUGACCUCACUACCAAUUAAUUACAAUGACGUCAGCAAUACCAAACGAACGGAUUUUACACACAAAUAACCCCUUUGGGUCCUGAAUUUUAUCUAGACAGAAAUG